rnacentral:rRNA from 1 species
CUACGGGGGGCAGCAGUGAGGAAUUUUGCGCAAUGGGGGAAACCCUGACGCAGCAACGCCGCGUGAGUGAAGAAGGCCUUUGGGUCGUAAAGCUCUGUCAACAGGGAAGAAGUUGCAAUUGUUUAAUAGAUGAUUGUAUUGACGGUACCUGUGGAGGAAGCGCCGGCUAACUCCGUGCCAGCAGCCGCGGUAACACGGGGGGCGCAAGCGUUAUUCGGAAUUAUUGGGCGUAAAGGGCGCGCAGGCGGUCUUGUCCGUCAGGUGUGAAAGCUCGGGGCUCAACCCCGGAAGUGCACUUGAAACAGCAAGACUUGAAUACGGGAGAGGAAAGCGGAAUUCCUGGUGUAGAGGUGAAAUUCGUAGAUAUCAGGAGGAACACCGAUGGCGAAGGCAGCUUUCUGGACCGAUAUUGACGCUGAGGCGCGAAGGCGUGGGGAGCGAACGGGAUUAGAUACCCCUGUAGUC